CCUACGGGAGGCUGCAGUGAGGAAUAUUGGUCAAUGGGCGGAAGCCUGAACCAGCCAAGUCGCGUGAGGGAAUAAGGCCCUACGGGUCGUAAACCUCUUUUGCCGGGGAGCAAGGGCCGGGACGAGUCCCGGUCCGGAGAGUACCCGGAGAAAAAGCAUCGGCUAACUCCGGGCCAGCAGCCGCGGUAAUCCGGAGGAUGGGGCGUUUAUCCGGAUUUAUUGGGUUUAAAGGGUGCGUAGGCGGGCUUUUAAGUCAGCGUUAAAAAUUCGGGGCUCAACCCCGUCGGGCCGUGGAAACUGGGGGGCUUGAGUGGGCGAGAGGAAGGCGGAAUGCGUGGUGUAGCGGUGAAAUGCAUAGAUAUCACGCAGAACCCCGAUUGCGAAGGCAGCAUUCCGGCGGCGUACUGACGCUGAGGCACGAAAGUGCGGGGAUCGAACAGGAUUAGAUACCCUAGUAGUC
rnacentral:rRNA from 1 species